AGAACGAACGCUGGCGGCAUGCCUAGUACAUGCAAGUCGAACGAACACUUCGGUGUUAGUGGCGCACGGGUGCGUAACGCGUGGGAAUCUGCCCUUGGGUUCGGAAUAACAGUUGGAAACGACUGCUAAUACCGGAUGAUAUCGAAAGAUCAAAGAUUUAUCGCCCAGGGAUGAGCCCGCGUAGGAUUAGCUAGUUGGUGAGGUAAAGGCUCACCAAGGCGACGAUCCUUAGCUGGUCUGAGAGGAUGAUCAGCCACACUGGGACUGAGACACGGCCCAGACUCCUACGGGAGGCAGCAGUGGGGAAUAUUGCACAAUGGGCGCAAGCCUGAUGCAGCAACGCCGCGUGAGGGACGAAGGCCUUCGGGUUGUAAACCGUCUUUAGUAGGGAGGAAGGGUUGUAACUUAAUAC
rnacentral:rRNA from 1 species